UCGUGGAACGGCAGCACAGGAGCUUGCUCCUGAUGGCGAGUGGCGAACGGGUGAGUAAUAUAUCGGAACGUGCCCUAGAGUGGGGGAUAACUAGUCGAAAGACUAGCUAAUACCGCAUACGAUCUACGGAUGAAAGUGGGGGAUCGCAAGACCUCAUGCUCCUGGAGCGGCCGAUAUCUGAUUAGCUAGUUGGUGGGGUAAAAGCCUACCAAGGCAACGAUCAGUAGCUGGUCUGAGAGGACGACCAGCCACACUGGGACUGAGACACGGCCCAGACUCCUACGGGAGGCAGCAGUGGGGAAUUUUGGACAAUGGGGGCAACCCUGAUCCAGCAAUGCCGCGUGAGUGAAGAAGGCCUUCGGGUUGUAAAGCUCUUUUGUCAGGGAAGAAACGGUAGUAGCGAAUAACUAUUACUAAUGACGGUACCUGAAGAAUAAGCACCGGCUAACUACGUGCCAGCAGCCGCGGUAAUACGUAGGGUGCAAGCGUUAAUCGGAAUUACUGGGCGUAAAGCGUGCGCAGGCGGUUGUGUAAGUCAGAUGUGAAAUCCCCGGGCUCAACCUGGGAAUUGCAUUUGAGACUGCACGGCUAGAGUGUGUCAGAGGGGGGUAGAAUUCCACGUGUAGCAAUGAAAUGCGUAGAUAUGUGGAGGAAUACCGAUGGCGAAGGCAGCCCCCUGGGAUAACACUGACGCUCAUG
rnacentral:rRNA from 1 species